rnacentral:lncRNA from 1 species
GAAGGACAUCACCUUUUAUUGUUUGCUACUUCUAUCAGAAUUGAGUUUCAGAUCUGAACAGAAGCUAAGUCCACAUUGAUGGAAAGUGUUAUUCUAAGAUACUUAAAUCAGAUUCUCGGGACUCAUUAAAAAAGCCACUUUUUUUUUUUUUUUUUAAGAGGGAAGGUAGUGAAAACCCUAAAUACAUUUCUAAAGAAGUAAAUUCUGUUAAAAUCAUAUUUGUUUAGAUCUGUGUUCCCUGAGCCAACCUACUACUUAAAGAUAUAUGCGCAGCUAAUCAAUAUACAAAUAGAAAGAAACUGAACUUGCAAAUGAUGAGGCACUCUUUGAGCUUUCCUACUCAAUGCCUAAAACAUCAUGUCAAAUGCAGCAGACAAAUCUUCAAGUCUAAAUAAUUCAUCUGGAAAUGGUAGGAACAAGAGGAGGGGAAAAAGAGAAACAGUUG